rnacentral:rRNA from 1 species
UGGGGAAUAUUGCACAAUGGGCGCAAGCCUGAUGCAGCCAUGCCGCGUGUAUGAAGAAGGCCUUCGGGUUGUAAAGUACUUUCAGCGGGGAGGAAGGGAGUAAAGUUAAUACCUUUGCUCAUUGACGUUACCCGCAGAAGAAGCACCGGCUAACUCCGUGCCAGCAGCCGCGGUAAUACGGAGGGUGCAAGCGUUAAUCGGAAUUACUGGGCGUAAAGCGCACGCAGGCGGUUUGUUAAGUCAGAUGUGAAAUCCCCGGGCUCAACCUGGGAACUGCAUCUGAUACUGGCAAGCGUGAGUCUCGUAGAGGGGGGUAGAAUUCCAGGUGUAGCGGUGAAAUGCGUAGAGAUCUGGGGGAAUACCGGUGGCGAAGGCGGCCCCCUGGACGAAGACUGACGCUCAGGUGCGAAAGCGUGGGGAGCAAACAGG